GUGGGGAAUUUUGGACAAUGGGCGCAAGCCUGAUCCAGCAAUGCCGCGUGCAGGAAGAAGGCCUUCGGGUUGUAAACUGCUUUUGUACGGAACGAAAAGGCUCUGGUUAAUACCUGGGGCUCAUGACGGUACCGUAAGAAUAAGCACCGGCUAACUACGUGCCAGCAGCCGCGGUAAUACGUAGGGUGCAAGCGUUAAUCGGAAUUACUGGGCGUAAAGCGUGCGCAGGCGGUUUUGUAAGACAGACGUGAAAUCCCCGGGCUCAACCUGGGAAUGGCGUUUGUGACUGCAAAGCUGGAGUGCGGCAGAGGGGGAUGGAAUUCCGCGUGUAGCAGUGAAAUGCGUAGAUAUGCGGAGGAACACUGAUGGCGAAGGCAAUCCCCUGGGCCUGCACUGACGCUCAUGCACGAAAGCGUGGGGAGCAAACAGGAUUAGAAACCCGAGUAGUCC
rnacentral:rRNA from 1 species